UUUCUCUCUAUGUCUCUCUCUUAAUUGAAGUAAUGCACAUCAAGAUCCUCUAGAAUUCUUAACUUAUUCUACCUUGUGGAUUUUCUAAAAUAUCAACCAUUGUUUUCAAAUUAAAUGGUUGAGAUUUUAUUAUAUUGGUGUUUACUUCAAUUAAAAUAUAAUAAAUACUAAGAUGAUAAAUGUUAAGCUGAUAGAGGUGAUAAAUGCUGAUACGACAAGUUUCAAACCAUUUAAAUUGAAAAUAUUUGGAGAAAUUUGGAGAAAGUUACAUGAUGGACUUUCCUAGGAAUUACUAAAUAGCAAGAGAAGGUUCAUUCACCACAAAACAUUAAAUAUUCAUUAUGUUACAAGAAUCUUAAUGUGUAUUAAAAGUUGAUAGUCAUACACCUUUUCUAAUUUAUGGAACAUUUAAUUAGUAAUUCCAAUACCAAUAGUAAUGCCAAAUAAAAUUUCAUCAUUUUCACUAUUUCUCUUUUACACAAACAUAUCAUUAUAGUGUAAUACCUUGAUCUAAACUGGGGUUAAGAAAUCCUUAAUUAGGAUUUAAGGACAAAUAAAGAGCAAUGUUUGGCAUGAAAUUAGGAAAAUGAGUCUUGUUUGACACUUGGACCAUUUUAACGCCUGAGUGAUCAAUCACUACUGAACGGUGAUCGAUUAGCCCUGUGUGAUUGAUCACCCCCUGUACUGUGAUCAAUCACUAACUGCCAUAAAACCCUAGUAAUUGAUCACCCUUAUUUUAGUGAUUGAUCAGUGUUAGAUACUUUACAAUUUGAAUACGUCAAUGACUUGAAGACGCGGUGGUUAGGCUGUUUAAGAGCUGUUAGGCCAACCCUAGUGAUCAUUUGGUCAACUAGGGUAUUUAGAGCACUCAUAAGAGAGAGAGAGAGAGAGAGAGAGAGAGAGAAGAAGAAGAAGAAGAAGAAGAAGAAGAAGAAGAAGAAGAAGAAGAAGAAGAAGAAGAAGAAGAAAGGAAAUGAGGUUUUGUUCUGAAGAAUUUUGGGAGAUCAAUGCCCCACGAGAUCGGAGGGUUGAAGUGACUAGCGUAACCAUGUACGGAUGACGAUCACGCCUUACAACAUCGCUAGUUGUGUGGAUUACUUGGGGUCGGACAACUAGUGGUAGCUGGUUAUUAUACCUCAUCGGGGCACUAAUAUUGUAAUUGAAGUCUUACAAGACAUGCACACCUCACCAUAAGCAUGUCAUAUGUACAAAUAGGCCAUAGAAAGGAUGGUUAUAACUUGUGACACAUGUGUAUAUAUAUAUAUAUAUAUAUAUAUAUAUAUAUAUAUAUAUAAUGCAUCUGUAUGAUUUUUUGCUUUAUUUACCUGUUAGAAACCUUACUGCAUAAUGUUGCAUGUGAUUUAUCAUAUUCUUAUAAAAUUAUAAAAUCACUGCAUAUUUAUAUGUC